rnacentral:lncRNA from 1 species
CCAAAAAAUUAGAGAGAAAAUAUCAAAAGUAUUGUCAAGACUCAAUGUGCCGAACUCUUUAGAAAACCCUAAAACAAAGCUUUAAAUAGUUCAACCUAAUUAUGAAAAAAAAAUAAUAAAAUUCAGAAAUCCCUCAGAUUAGGUGACGACAUUUGUGAUAGCCUAUCAGGAGGCUGACGACUUAUCACAAAUGUCGUCAGCACCUUCUUCAAUUUUGGCUUUUCCUGUUUAAGGAUGACGACAAACUUGACAACUUAUCAACUUCGUGACAGCCUAUCACAAAAUAUUGUCAAAGCUUAGCUUUGGUUCUCCUGUGCUGCCUCAGGCUGACGACAUUCUUGACAGCUUAUCAGACCCUUGAUGACUUAUCACAAAAUAUUGUCACAUCUUUCAACUUAGUCCAAUUCUCUGUCUACUGCUGACGACGAACUUGAUAACUUAUCACAGGGCUAUCGACUUAUCACAAAUGUCGUCAGCCACACUUAUCUUCAGAUUUCAACUUCUUUGUUUCCAUUCUUGUUGGUUCUCUAUCAUAUCAGCUUAAACUGCAAAAUCAAACAUAAACCAAUCAAAAACGACAAAAGUUGCUUAAGACUUCGCAAUUAUUCUUAGUUAAAAGCCUCAAAUGUGUUAGCAUUAGCUCACACAUCACAUAUGAUAAUUCACUAUUGUCUUGUUUGGUGACCUUGUGCAGAAAAAUAACACUUUAGAAUUCUUUCAUCUCCGUGUACAAUGUCAUGACUACACACUAGAUGGGGUAGUUCAAAAUUAAAACGUUCUUGAAUUUGGAGCUCAAAAGAUAAUUGGCUUCUCAUGAGACAUUGCAAUUGCGGUAUGUUUUUUUUUCAAUCCUAUUAGCAAUGACAUAAUUUAAGUCCCGAUCUCCUUAAGGAGGAAUGCUUGCUCUGUUCGGACAUUUUUGUGCUCUUCCAACUACUCAUCAUUGGAUUAUUUUGUUGUUGAUUUUGAUACCCAACUUGGUUAUCCAGAUAGAAGUUGGUUAUCCAUGUACAUGUUUAAAGGUACAAAAUGAAUGGAAGGGUCUUGGAGAGGAAACAAAUAGGGAGUUUGGAUAAUAAAAUAUUAUUUGUGAGCUUUGGAGGAUGCUACUUGAAAUCAUGCCCAGAGGGGCUAUAAAACAAGAUAUAUUUUUUAAUGUUUUACAGCAACAAUAAAGACGUUUUCUAUUGCUUGAUCAAUUACAAAUAUUACUUUUUCAAUUGCACCCUCAUCAAAACUUACUCAAGUGCAGAUAUUUUCAAUUUGAUCUAACCAAGAUCUUGUAUUUGAAUCAAACUAAAGAAUGAUUAAUUUCUCCUUCUAUUGAUGUUUAUUUUUCAUUAAUUACCAAUAUUUUGGAGAUAUAGCCACCUAGAAUAAAAUAUGUCAUCUACCCAACCAAAAAAAUGCUUGAAAGACCUUCAUUUUCUCUAAUAUAUUUUAUAACCAGAAUUGUACAUUCAAUAUAUUUUAUUAUUAUAUAUAACUAGUCAUUUUCUUAUAAUUUAUAUCUUUGUAUACAAAGAAAGAGUAUCUUAGUAAAAUGUUAUUCAUUUGUUGCAAUACAGUACAUCAAUUCUAGUUCUCCAAAAUCUUAGUGGUAGAUAAUAAAUUUUUAAGUAGUUUAAUUCAAAAUUCUAAAAUAUCAACCAAAAUUUUCUUAUCUUCAACUAACUAAAGCUUACAAAUUUUAAAAUAAUUUAAUUACUCUUAUGAUUGCUUGAUUUUUAGAUGGUUGAUCAUUUCGAAGCAUGAAAAAAGGGGAGGAACAUCCUUGGUAUGGCUUGCUGCUUCAAAAGGCUUAGCAUCUGGGUAGGCUAGUGAAGAAUCUAAUCAAACACAUAGUUUGUAGAGUCAUUGAAUUCGUUUAACUAGUCAGAGAGUGGAAUCACAUACAAAGAUGAACUACAUCAUAUUAAGCCACAGUCUAAAAUCGCAGCCGUUAUAGAAGAUUGUUCCAAAUGCCAAUAGAGAUUACUUUAAUCUUCACAGGAUUCUUUUCGUCGAAGUUCUUCAUGUUGACACCUAAUUUUUGCCCUCCGCAAUCAAGUUUAAUUUUGAGUUUCUUAAAUUUUAAAUAUCUAUUUCAUUUGAAUAAAAACUUUUUCAAAAUACUUAUUGUCACACCCCUAUUUUUUCUGCCCUAACCCCGCUAGGGAGUUGGUUUUAGAGAAAAUGGAUUUUUUCAAUUAAAGUGACGUUUUGAAAAGGGAUUAUUUCUUUUACAGAGUCGCCACUUGGAAUUGAGUUUGGGUGUUCCAAGUCACCUUAUUGAAUCCCAAUCAAAGAAAAUGACUCUAUAUUGUUGGUCUGCAAACUAGAAAUCCGGAUAAGAAAUUAUGUUGAUCGAGGAAAAGGUGUGAGACACCUCUCUAAUCCCGUGGUUCUAGCAAGGUCGCUUUAAUAACUUAUGUAUGACUUAGAGUAAUCUUUUGGAUUUAUAAUAUUUGUUAGCCUAAAAGUUACUUACAUCUCGCUUUUAAUUUAUUUUAAAUUUAUUUAUUAUAUUGAUGUGUGACUUACCGAUAGUAGUACUUUUCGGUCUUACCACGAGUUUUGGUAUAUUUCUCGCACCUUUGUGGCAUUUAUGAAUCGUUUCCAUUUUCCCCAAGUCUAAGCAAGAUUCUAACAUGUUAAAAAAAAUUCUCCGUUCCGAUUAGAUCGACUUUGAAAUGAUAUGUUAAUUUUAUUAUAACGAUGGUUGGUAGCAGGACUUUCCAACUUCAUCGUUAACUUUUAUUUGUAUAAUAGACUUCUAAUUUCUUUGGAUUACGAACCUAAAAGAAACAUCCUUUCUCAAGUAAAAUUUCUUUUACAAUAACAAAUUUGAAAGUUAAUUAAGAGCCCAACCUCACCUUUAUUACAUAUAAAAUAAUCGAAUAAGCCUUUUCAAAUGGUUUAUUACCCGAAAUAUUCAAAUGAGAUCAUGACUCAAUUCCAACAUUUGACCAAUUCAAAUAUUGAUAAUUAAAAGUUAGAUUAGUUAAAAUUCAUUUAACUCAAUUUUUAAACAAAUUGGAGGUUGUUAUAAAAUAAGAAAGAACAAAGAAGAAGAGUAGAGAGAAUGGAGAGAGUAACUAUUAUUUCUCUUGAGAGAUAAUUUACAAUGAAGGAAGCCUUCUAUUAAUAGGGGAAAUUUGCUCCUAGUUUCACACUAAAAGACAAAUACAUCAAAUUCUGAUAGACAUCAAAUAGAUCUUGAUAUACAUUCACUAUAAUUGAUAUAUAUCAUAACAAUCCCCCUUGAAUGUCUAACAAUACACAUAUAGGCCACCUCAUUAAAAACUUUACAAGGAAAACCCAGUGGGACAAAACCUCGUAAGGGAAAAAGAGUACAACGCGUAUUAGCUCCCCCUAAUAAGAACAUUCUUGAACCUUUGCAUUCCGAUGUUGUGCACCAUCUUCUUGAAAGUUGCAGUUGGAAGAGACUUGGUGAAUAAACCAGCCACAUUGUCACUUGAAGGAAUCUGUUGUACGUCAAUAUCACCAUUCUUUUGGAGUUCAUGUGUAUAUAAGAGCUUUGGUGAGAUGUGCUUCAUUCUAUCUCCUUUUAUGAAUACUCCCUUAAGUUGUGCUAUGCAUGCUGCAUUAUCUUUAUAUAAAAUAGUGGAUACUUUAUCAUAUUUCAAGACACAUUUUUCUCGAAUGAGAUGUAUUAUGGACCUCAACCACAUACUCUCUCGGCUUGCUUCAUGAAUAUUUAUAAUCUCAGCGUGAUUCGAUGAAGUGGCUAUGAUAGACUGCUUUGUUGAUCUCCAAGAUAUGACGGUACCCCCACAUAUGAACACAUAGCCUAUUUGAGACUGAGCUUUAUGCGGGUCAGAUAAGUACCCAGCAUCAGCAUAACCAACAAGAUCAGAACUUUAAUCUUUAGAAUAAAAUAAACUCAUAUUGAUAGUCCCUUUGAGAUACCGUAAUAUAUGUUUGAUUCCAAUGUCUCUUAGUAGGAGCAGAACUAUACCUCGCUAACAAAUUACUGAAAAGGCUAUAUCAGGCCUUGUAGUAUUUGCAAGAUACAUUAGUGCACCAAUUGCACUAAGAUAUGGUAUUUCAGGACCAAGGAGUUCCUCAUUCUUUUCUUGAGGUCAGAAUGGAUCCUUAUUCACAUCAAGUGAUCGAACAAUCAUCGGAGUACUUAAUGGAUGUGCUCCAUCCAUAUAGAAUCAUUUUAACACCUUUUCUGUGUAGGCAGAUUGAUGGAAAAAGAUAAUAUUUGUCAAAUGCUCAAUUUACAAACCAAGGCAUAACUUUGUCUUUCUGAGAUCUUUCAUCUUAAAUUUUUUCUUUAGGUAAUCAAUUGCCUUUUGAAGCUCUAUUGGCAUUACAAUAAGGUUUAUGUCAUCGACAUAGACAGCAAGUAUAAAAAAUUUUGAUGUUGCAAAUUUCAUCAUUCGUAUAACCUUCCUUAGAUAAAUAUCCACUAAGACGGUUAUACCAUAUGCGUCCAGAUAGCUUUAAACCAUACAAUGAUCUUUGUAAUCUAAUGGAAUACAUUUCCCGAGGCUUUGAACUAUAUGCUUUCGGCAUUUUAAAUCCUUCGAGAAUUUUCAUAUAUAUCUCAUUAUCAAGUGAUCCAUAUAGAUAGGUUGUUACCACAUCCAUCAAAUGCAUUUGAAGUCUCUCAUGGACAGUGAAAUUAAUAAGAUAAUGCAAUGUUAUUGCGGCCAUAACUGGUGAAUAUGUCUCGUUAUAAUCGACACCGGGUUGUUGUGAAAAACCUUGUACAACAAGGCAUGCCUUAUACCUUUGUAUUUCAUUUUUCUCAUUUCUUUUUCGCACAAAGACCUAUUUAUAGCCAGCAGUCUUAACACCAUUAGGUGUUUGAGUUAUAGGUCAAAAGACUUCACAUUUGGCAAGUGAAUUUAAUUCAGAUUGAAUUGUUUCUUGCCAUUUUGGCCAGUCAUUUCUUUAUCGACAUUCUGUGACAGACCGAGGUUCAAUAUCCUCACUAUCUUGCAUUUUUGUUGCAACAUUAUAUGCAGAGACAUAAUCCACUACUAUUUCAGAUCGAUUCAAAUUAGUUUCAACAUCACUUGAAUUUAUGGAUAGUUCCUUAUUUUCUUGAGUCUCGGGCUCAUUAAUUCCUUCAGGAAUAUUAACAUUGCUCAAAUCUUGAACUUCCAUAUGAGGAUCUUUCGUAGUGUCAUCUCGACCAUUUUUUUUUCUUUUUCUAGGAUUUCAAUCCUUAGAACCUAAUGGUCUGUCACGCUUCAAGCGUGCUUUAGAUUCAUUAGCUAUUACACUAGUGAAUGGUCCUUUAGGAACAUCAAUUCGAAUUGGGACACUCUCUACAGGAAUAUGUGAUUUAGUGAUCCUUUUCAAAUCUGUAAAUGCAUCUGGCAUUUGAUUUGUAAUUUCUGCAGAUGAAUAAUUUUUUGUACUUCUUGCUCACAAAUAGAAGCACGUGGAUCAAGAUGAGAUAGUGAUGGAUUUUUCUACAAUAUUUCUCUUUUGAUGUCACUAUCUUUUUCCCUAAUUUUGGAAAAACUAUCUCAUCAAACCGACAAUCUACAAAUCGAGCAGUGAACAUAUCUCCCGUUAAUGGUUCAAGAUAGCGAAUAAUGGAGGGUGAUUCAAACCCAACAUAAAUUCCUAACCUUCUUUGGGGUCCUAUCUUGGUGCAGUUUGGUGGUGCUAUAGGCACAUAUACACCGCACUCAAAAAUUCUCAGAUGAAAUAUAUUAGGCUCUUGACCCAAAACCAAUUGCAAUGGAGAAAAUUUAUGAUAAUUUAUCGGUCUAAGACGAAUAAGUGUAGCAGCAUGCAAAAUUGCAUGACCCCAAACAGAAGUGGGAAACUUAGUUUUCAUAAGCAAUGAUCUUACUAUCAACUGUAGACGUUUAAUUAAUGACUCAGCAAGGUCAUUUUGAGUAUGAAUAUGGGGUACAAAAUAUUCCACUCUUAUCCCAAUCGAUAAGCAAUAGUCAUUAAAUGCUUGGGAUGAAAAUUCUACAGCAUUAUCAAAGCGAAUAGAUUUAAUUUGAUUAUCGGGAAACUGUGCCCGUAAUCGUAUUAUUUGUGCCAAUAAUUUUGCAAAUACCAAGUUGCGAGAUGACAAAAGGCACACAUGAGACCAUAUAGAAGAAACAUUUAUUAGGACCAUAAAGUAUUUAAACGACCCACUAGUUGGGUGAAUAGGUCCAUAAAUAUCUCCAUGUAUGUGUUUCAAGAAUACGGGGGAUUCAAUCCCAACUUUUGUUGGCGAUGGCCUCACAAUCAGCUUUCCUUGAUAACAAGCUUUGCAUAAAAAUUUACCAUUUGAAAGAACCUUCAAGUUCUUUAAUGGAUGUCCAUUUGAAUUUUCUAUGAUUCGUCUCAUCAUUAUAGAUCCAGGAUGUCCCAGACAAUAAUGCCAAAGUAAGAAAGCAUUGGAAUUAGUAAACUUUUGAUUUACUAUAGAAUGUACCUCAAUUGCAUAAAUCUUUAUCUAAUACAGUCCAAAAGAUAAAGAAGGGAACUUCAUAAUAACACAUGUCUGCCCAGAGACAUUCUUGGUGAUACUAAGAUAUCCAAGAUUCAUCUCAUCAAAUGUCUUGAUAUGAUAACUAUUUUCACGGAUAUCUUUAAAACUCAUCAAGUUUCUCCGAGACUUGGGAGAGAACAUAGCAUUAUUUAUGAUGAAUUUAGUUCCCUUGGACAAGACUAUAAUGGCUUUUUCGAAGCCUUCAAUCAAAUUAGCACUACCACAAAUUGUAGUAACAUUAAUCUUGCCCAUGUUUAGAUGAGAGAAAUAUUUCUCGUCCUUGAAUAUUGUAUGUGUAGUGCCAGAAUCAAUCAAACAAAUAUCUUCACAAUUGGACUGCUUACUUUGAAAAUUAUCCAUAUCUUCAAAUAAAAUGACAUAGACCAAAUAAAAUAUCUAUUAAAUUUUUGUACAAAAUGAAAACUUAUACAAUAAAGAAUUAUUAAUCACCCUUUACUAAGAAAUUAAAUAAAGUUGGUGACCAUGUACGCUUUUGUCAAAGUUGGAGGCUAUAUCAUCGGACAACACAUUAAUUAAACAAGUUAUAUUUAACCUUGAUCACAUUAAUUAAGCAAAUUACACUAUCCAAAUUGUAUAUUGUUGAAGGAUAAACAAAAUAGUUGGUGGUCACAUAGGACCUUACGGACGAACACAAAAACAAAGAGUAAAACUGCACACGUACUAUAUUAAUAUUACAUAAAGAAUAUAAUAUAUUAAAAAUAGACGUGGUAUUGUGGAGUUUUGCAUGCAAAAGGUAAAUGGUUCAAUCCCUGCAUCUCUACACAUAUAAGAUUUGACUUGUUCUUUGCACAUAUCUUUUCUUUUUCUUUUUUUUUUUGUUCAUUCCCCUUUUCAGAAAAUAAUGAUAAAAUUAAAAUUCAAUUCAAUUCAAUAAUAAACAAUAAUAACAUAAUUAAACUAAAUAAUACUAAUAGAAAAAACUAAUACUCACGCAAAUAACUACUUUUACAUGAUUUUUAUUCACUUACUCUUAUCAACAAAACUAAAAAAAAAAAAUCAUUCAUUCCUCCAUGUUUACGGAACCAUCACCAAUCAAGUGAUCAAUCUUUCCUUCAAGGUGCUCAAAGAAGUCUGCUACAUCCAAGCUUGUGAUGUCAACAUUAUUUUCAGAGAGAAAGUUAGCCUCAGAAUUUCUCUCUUUCUUCUUUAGUGAUGCUUGAUAAAGAUCAACCAAGUGCUUGAGAGCACGACAGUCACGUAAAUAAUGUCCUUUUCUACCACAUCUGAAACACGUAAUUGCUUCACAUUUCUAUCUUUUUUAUUUUUGUUUGAUGAAUGAUUAACAUCCGAAACAUGGUUUCUUUCUUGGUCAUCACGACCACGUCCACGACCAGGGCCGCGACCUUUUUCACGCCUAGCAUGGUGAGCAUGCACAACAUUCACCUCAGGGAAUGGUGCAGAUCCAGUAGGUCAAUUCUCGUGAUUUUUCAUUAACAAAUCAUUAUUUUAUUCAGCCACGAGAAGAUGAGAACUUAGUUCAGUGUAUUUUUUGAAACCUUUUUCUCGAUAUUGUUGCUGUAAGAGCACAUUUGAGGCAUAAAAAGUGGAGAGUGUCUUUUCCAUCAUAUAGUCAUCAUUGACUGUCUCUCCAUAUAGUUUCAAUUGAGAAGAAAUUCUAAACAUGGCAGAAUUGUAUUCAUGAACAAACUUAUAGCCUUGAAAUCUUAGAUGCAUCCACUCAUAUCAUGCUUUCGGAAGGAUGACCAUCUUUAAGUGGUUAAACUUUUCUUUUAGGCUAUUCCACAAUACGAGUGGAUCCUUAGUAGUAAGGUACUUAAUUUUCAGAACUUCAUCAAGAUGAUGACACAAGAAAAUCAUAGCCUUAGUACGAUUUUGACUAGAUGUUGUAUUUUCAUUCUUUAUGGUGUCUCCAAGACCCAUAACAUCUAGGUGGAUUUCAGCAUCCAACACCCAUGAAAUAUAGUUCUUGCCCGAACUUUGAAAGGCAACGAACUCAUACUUCGUAAGAUUGUUAGCCAUAAGAAAAAGAAGAAGAAAAAUAAUAAUACCUCAGCCUUAGCCUUCAAAUUUGAGACGGUAGAGUCUCGUGCUGAUAAUGUGUUAUAAAACAAGAAAGAAUAAAGAAGAAGAGUAGAGAGAAUAGAGAGAGUAAUUGUUAUUUCUCUUGAGGGAUGAUUUACAAUGAAGGAAGCUCUUCUAUUUAUAGGCAAAAUUUGUUCCUAGUUUCACACUAAAAGACAGAUACAUCAAAUCCUGAUAGACAUCAAAUAGAUCCUGAUAGACAUUCACUAUAAUUGAUAUAUAUCAUAACAGAGGUGAAGUACUCCAAAUAAUCAUUUCUAGUAAAAUAUCAAGGUAAAUAAAUAAUUUUUCCAGAAAAACAUAUAAUAAAUAAGUAGUAAUAUUUUGUGAAAUGAACCUAAUAUUAAAACUAGUGUGGAUGAAAAUUCCCUAUUCAAACCUAAGGACUUCAUUAAACUUGAUAAAAUCAUCCCCUGUCUCUUGUUUAUAAAAAAAAAAAAAAAGAAACUUGCGUUUUAAACCUCAAUAGAGGAUUAAAAUCUAAUUUUGAAAAUAUUCAUCUAAGAAAAAUUUAAUUUACACAUGGUCAACAAUAUGAUUAAUUAUAGUGGUUACAUACUGAUUUUAAAACUAAGUAAUUCUAGACCUUGAAUUGUAUCAAAAAAGAUAAAAAAAAUAAAAAAAAUAGUUAAUGUUUCUGUAUCAAGACAACUUUUAACAAAUUCUAAAAUUGAUUUAUUAUACUAUUAACGUACUUGAAUAUUUGGGUAAUUCAUUUAAUAACCAUGAGCAGAAAAAAAUCAAUUACCAUAAACCACAUUAAACAACUCAUUGCAUUACUCCAAUCAAACUUUAGAUAUGUAUUUCAACUACGCAGAAAAACUAAUGGGAACAGGAGCAACUUAAUGAUACAUCAAAUAUCUAUUGAUUUCAAAUAAAAAAAUUGGUUAUGAUAAUCAUAGAGAUUCUAUAACAAAUUCAAAUUUAAUUGGAUCUCAAGAAUUUUAUUAUAUUCUCUUACUACUUAACUAGUAAAAUUAUUCGCGCUUCGCGCGAUUACAAAAAGUAUUUAUUAACGAUCUCUUUAAUAAAUUUAGAUAAGAAUAAAGAUAAAUUCUUAUAUGUACAUACAAAACUGAAUUAUCUAUAUUGAUGAAAUUAAAAAUAUAAAUAUUUUUAUUAAAAAAAUAGAGCUUGGAGAAACUUCAUUUUCAUGAUCGAAAAAAAGAAAGGUAUUUUUUAAAGACAUUUUUACUUUUGAUUAUAUGAAAACUACAUAGAAAAGUAUAUGAAAAUUCAUUGUAAUUAGCAUGAUAUGGAAUGACAAGAGAAAGAGGUCUCCUUAAAGAUUUGAAUUGAUUGUCAAACGUGGGCUUUAACUCUUGCAUGUAUUUAGUGAGAUUUUAAAAGUAAUUUAUUAAAUAGGUUAUGAAUAAAAAAUUUUAAAAAAAUAUCUCAAAAAAUGGAAAAUAGCCUCAAAAAAUGAGAAAAUAAUAAAUAGCAAUAGAGGUCAUAUAGAGGUGUCACAUCACCUCCUUCAUGACAAAAAAACUAGUCAAUUGAAGUUUACUGAAUAUAAUCUAUUUAUUUAUAUAUAUACAGAUAUUAAAGAUUGCAUUAAAAUUUUCAAAUGAAUACCACAUUCAAUAUAUAUUAAAUUCACAAAAAAUAAAGUGAAAAAGUAGAGAAAAGAGAAUUAAGAGGAUUUAAAAAAAUAAUAUUUGAAAUGAUUUGAUUACACAUACCAAAAUAUUUUAUUAUUAGGAAAAAAACCUCUCAUUUUAGGAUUUAAAUUUUAACUUUUCUAUAUAUUUUUUUAAAUUAGUUGUUUCAUGUUGAAAAAUUUCUUUCAUAUUAAUUAUAUUUUAAAAGCAUUUAAAUAAUUAUCCAUGAUGCAACGUGCAUUAAUCUUGAGUUAAGACUGUCAACGUAGAUUCGACUAUUCGUUAUAAUUUAUUUAGUUUUAUGAUCUUUUAUAAGCAAUUUUAAUUUUUGUACACCAUAUUCUUACACAUAAUUAAGAGAUUUGAAAAAAAAAAAUAUUUUCUUCUCUUUAUUUUCUAAGUGACUGAGAAAUUUAAUUCCUCUAUAUGAUUAUGACUAAUCAAUUUAGAUCUAAGAUUAUAGAUAAUGAUUUAUAUUUUUACUCAAGCUAUAUUGUGAUGAGUUUCAGAAUUUUCAUCUCCAUAUUAGUUCUAUCUAUUAGUGAAAUUGGGAAAUAAAUAAAUAUUUAAGCUGAUAUUUAUAUACUCGCACUUGCAUUGUGAAAGUGUUUAAAAGUUAUUCUAGCUUAGAAGUACUUCAAUAAUUAAAAAAUGAUUUUACAAUACUAAAAAGAUGCAACGAAAAGAUUUCUCAUGCAUUGCUUGAUAUAAAUCCUUCAUUUACAUUGUAAGACAUGUAUUUGUAGUAUGAUGUCAUUAUGGUCAUAAACAAAUUAAGCAACUCAAAGCAAAUGAAUCAGACGUCAAUAGAAAGGGAAUAGGAAGAUCACAACAUGAAAAGCAAAAGGGCACCAAAAACUAUGAAGGCAUCCAUAAUAUUCAAGUUAGAAGCAAAAACCAUAAAGAAUAACAACGACCAAAUGUGCUAACAUAAAAACUAUGUCGAAUGUCUCUUUCUUCAAGAAAUUCACACUCUUUUUGAAGAUACGCAAAUGAUUUUUAUUUCUUUUUGAUAAAAAAUAUAUGAAAGUUUAAAGAAUGAAAAUUCUAAAUAAUACAUAAUGAAAGAAAUAGCCUUAAUCUUGAUGGAGGAAAAAAAUACUCAACGACUCUAUUUAUAGGACAAAAAUAUGAAAUAUCAAAGGAUAUCACGAAUAUUACUUAAUAUAAUUUAGGAGUUAUGAUCUUCAAAAGUAAUGGAAGUAAUGGAAAUAAAGAUCAUUAAGUUUAUAUAUUAAAGAAUAUGAAUAAAUGAAAUGAUAAUUGAUAUAUUCAUUUUAAUUGUUAAACAAAUUAAUUGACUCAUGAGAAGAAUAGAGGAAAUUUUUUUUUUUUAAAAAAAGAUAAAUAGAAAUAGAGGUCAUAGAGAGGUGCCACAUCACCUUGUCUAUGUUCCUCCUUUAUUAUUAUAUAUUGAUUACAAUCUAUCAUAUACUUGAAAAGAUAAAGCACAAAUAACCAAUUUGUUGCACACCAAAUAAUAUAAGAGAUCAUCUAAAUACUUAAUUCAUGUUUUGAUUCACAAUAAAAAUUAUAAAAUAAAUAGUGCUAGAUCAAACAAAAACCUGUAUGAUGAACCAAAAAACGAACGACGAAAGCUGGAAUAAGACCCCAAACUCAUAACUCUAACUCUUUUUUUUUCUGCUUUCUUUUUCCCUCUUUUCUUGCUUCUUCAAUUUUGUUUUCUGUUUUUUCUUUGUUUUUUUUUUCCUUCUGUUUCUUGGGUUUUUU